GACCUUCUCCACUUCCUUAAGAAAUCAAAACAGUUACUUCAACUGUAACCUUUGCCCCAGAUCUGCACUUCACUCCAUUAGAGUCUCCCCUCUUCAUAACAUAUUCUUCUUUAGCACUUACUUUGAAGUUCAUGUUCCUGAAAGGAAAGCCUAUAAAUCAGCUCUCGGGGCAAAUGAAAACCAGCACUGCUAAGGUCAGAGACGGAUUCCAAUGAUCCAGGCACGCAUUCACUCAUUUGUUUUUUUGCCAGCACUCGCUUGAUGGCAGGCCCGGCACCAGGCCUUGGAGACGGAGGCAAAGGUAAACAAGACUCAGUUCCUGCACUCCGAGAUGUUUAAAAUCUGGUCAAAGGUGAAAUUAAGAUACAAUAUAAAAACGCAUCCCAGCUUCUCUAGAGAUGUCGAUUUCAGUGGCUCAUGGCUUCUCCAGAGACCUUCCCCAGUGAAGCAUGGAGGUUUCAUAUGCUUGAAGUAUAACUUCUCAGCUUUUGCAUUAAAAAAAAUGCACAUUUUCUCACUCUCACUUAAUAAAAGUUGCAUGCUUGAGCAAACAGUGUUUCCUUCUUCUACUUUAUUUUGGUAACAGUUAAUUAACUUAGC
rnacentral:lncRNA from 1 species